rnacentral:rRNA from 1 species
CCUACGGGCGGCUGCAGUGGGGAAUAUUGGGCAAUGGGGGAAACCCUGACCCAGCGACGCCGCGUGAGGGAAGAAGGUCUUCGGAUUGUAAACCUUUGUCAACAGGGACGAAACAAAUGACGGUACCUGAAGAGGAAGCCACGGCUAACUACGUGCCAGCAGCCGCGGUAAUACGUAGGUGGCGAGCGUUAUCCGGAUUUACUGGGUGUAAAGGGUGUGUAGGCGGGUCUGCAAGUCAGAUGUGAAAUGCUACGGCUUAACUGUAGCACUGCAUCAGAAACUGCAGAUCUUGAGAGUGGGAGAGGUAAGCGGAAUUCCUGGUGUAGCGGUGAAAUGCGUAGAUAUCAGGAGGAACACCGGUGGCGAAGGCGGCUUACUGGACCACAACUGACGCUGAGACACGAAAGCGUGGGGAGCAAACAGGAUUAGAUACCCCAGUAGUC